GUGGAAGUAGUUUAUUAAAAAUGUUGCUUUGUGGACGCAAAGAUAAGCUUACAGUUUCUUUCAUA
rnacentral:tRNA from 1 species